CUGCGCGUCCCUCGGAGCAGGGGGUAAAUGGUUAAGAGCAAAUAAAUGCUGGCGAGGCGCUGCUUUGCGCCCUGCACCGAGCCCAGCACGGAGCUCCCGUGGGGUUUUGGGGGGCUGGUGAGGGGCGGUGGGGUGGCACGGCAGGAUGGGGGUGAUGCUCUGGGCUGUGGGGACUCGCUGCAGGGGCAAAGCCACAGGAAAACUUGGAGCUGGCACUCCUGGAGCGUGGCCUGGGGGUGUGGACUGGACAAGGCGGCACCCCGAAACAGGCAGCGCCUGGUGGGACUGCUCGUCCUUGCCCCCCGUCCCCCUGCCCUUCUCGUUUGUAGCUCAGCGCCUGCCAGGCAGGGGCUC